GCGGAGGUGGCGGAAUUGGUAGACGCGCUAGCUUCAGGUGUUAGUGUCCUUACGGACGUGGGGGUUCAAGUCCCCCCCCUCGCACCA
rnacentral:tRNA from 1 species